UUAUCCGUAUUAAAUAAUUAUAACUGGUGCCUUAAGAACGACCUCAAAGGUAUCACCUGCUGUGCUGCCAGUCUACUAAGCAGUCCGGCGAGCAGCAGCAACAGAAAGAAGAAGUGCAUAAAUAAGUGCAUCUGCAUUAUGGACGCCGACAGCAGUGUAGCGUCCCACCGAGUGCCAUAUAAAGUGAAAAGUGCAAUGGAAGAAAAUGUACGCUGGACAGAACGAACACAACAUCCAGGAAUUUGGGACAAUUGGACGCCCCCAAACGAAUCGAUGGACCCCAAAUCUUCUCCGAAACCUCUACACAACGCUUAGUAAUGAUUUAGAUAUAAUAUUUCUAUGUAGAUUCCCAUCGAUCGAGGACCCGAAGAGACGUACAUGUACGAGACCAGGGAGGAGAACGCGAGCGCGUGCGCGAGCAGAAGACGGUACCCUACUUUGCGGAUCCUGUGCGUGAGCGGGAUCGCGUGAAGAAUGUGCGUCCGAAAUCUCCACCUUCGACUGGCAAACGGUGCCGACGAACUAGGUCGAGAUCGAGAUCCUCUGACAGAAGACGCUAUCGCCGUCGCACCCGUAGUCGAAGUAGCGAGCGUCGACACCGAAACCGGAGUCCGCGUCGACGCACGCCACCGCCGAGGAUAAUAACAGUUCCUGUGCCCGUUCCAGCACAUGAGUUCGCAUAUGGAUACGGCUGGCCGGCACCCCAUCCAGCGCAUCAGUUUAAUGGAAUAUAUGGUCCACUGGCAUAUCCACCGCGUCCACGAUUUGGGUACCGACCAAUGCGACCUUCGUUUCAGGCAGCCCCUUAUUCUAGGCCUUAUGCACACCAUGAAUAUCGCCAUCGUCAUCCAUUUAAUCCACAAUCUCGUUUUAGUUAUAGAAACUCAUGGCAGCAUCCGAAUUAAAGACACAUUUCGACAUAA